rnacentral:rRNA from 1 species
UACGUAGGGUGCAAGCGUUAAUCGGAAUUACUGGGCGUAAAGCGUGCGCAGGCGGCCUCGCAAGUCAGAUGUGAAAUCCCCGAGCUCAACUUGGGAACUGCAUUUGAAACUACGAGGCUAGAGUGUGUCAGAGGGAGGUAGAAUUCCACGUGUAGCAGUGAAAUGCGUAGAUAUGUGGAGGAAUACCAGUGGCGAAGGCGGCCUCCUGGGAUAACACUGACGCUCAUGUACGAAAGCGUGGGGAGCAAACAGG